rnacentral:lncRNA from 1 species
GAAUUCUUCUUGUUUAUACUUUACAGAUGAAGUUUUCACAAUUGACAGGAAUGGAGAAAGAAAUAGUGCAAAAUUUGGAGUGGCUUGAAGCUCAGAAAAUAGAGAUAAGCAUUGACCUAAUUGCUGAAGCCAACAAACAUCUUCAGUUUCUCGGAGUUGUUGACCGGAACCGGUGGCUGUACGAUGGUCCUGCACUCAAAAGAGCCAUCUACAGAUAAUUAAACAGAACCACGAUAAAAAGUAAUAAAAAAUAAACAAAAUCACCCAUGGGGUUUGCAUCACACAAGUAAAUACAUUUACAUAAUUUAAUGUUUAUUUAAUUCUAUGUAACAUUUAUUUUUUUCUGAUUAGCUAAGUUUAAAGGGCUUAUUUGUGAUAUAACCAAAAAAAGUGAAAUUAGUUUUAUAGAGAUAGAAUAGAGAGAGAUGGAAAGAAGAAAGCGGAGAUAGAGACUGAUAUUGCUUAGAUAAUGAAUUAUAGUUUUUUGUAUUAUCUCACCCAAUUUCCCAAGUUUAAAUUAAUGAUAAUUAAACAAUAUUGCUACAAUCACCAAUUUAUUAAAUCUAAGGAAAAGAUCUAACCUUUUAGUUUGCGAAUAUAUCUUUGUUUGUUUUUCCUUUCCGUUUACAUAAUUCUCAAAUCAGUAAUUUGGUGAUUUAUUUUUCAGAUACAAUGCCUACAGGCUUCUUUCGCUAGCAAAACAUUAUGAGUCUUCCUCAAUCUGCGAAGAACCACUAGUCUCUCCAAUUGACUGUGAAUGGGUUUGGCAUUGCCACAGGCUUGACCCGGUAAAUGUAAGCAUUGUAUAUCUUUGCAUACAACUCACAUAUGAAAAAGCACACUGUAGCAAAAUAAAAGCACACGGUAGUAGAGUAGUGAACAGUGGGAGGUAAAAUAUGUAGCUCACUAUUUUGUUAAUCAUCCAGGUGAGGUACAAGUCUGACUGUGAGGAAUUCUAUGGGAGAGUUCUGGACAACUCUGGCAUUGUAUCUUCAGCAAAUGGGAGCUGCAAAUUACAGACUGAAAAAUUAUGGAAGAGAUUGUAUCCUAUGGAGCCCUGUGACCUUGAUUUGGAUAAGGCAAUCUCAGAGCCAAUUUCACCUCUUGAGAAAUGCACGACCUAUGAUCUUGUUUCAGCUGCCAAGAGGCAAAGCUCAUUUUAUCUUGAGGUACAAUAAUGAACUUGACUAAAGUAAAUUACAUAUGUUUUACAAGUUUGAAUUUGAAUAUAUUUACAGGAUUUAUAUGGAGUUUGAGUACUUUCUGAUAAAUGCUUGCACUUAAAAUAUUUAAUCUACAACUGAAAUAUUUUGAAAUUCAUAUAAAUACUUCCAAUACAUAUAAUAAUAUUAAUGGGUGUGUUACAAGGUUUCUAAGCCAUUUGUUGGUGUUUCUAUGCUACAGGUUUCAAGAGCCAAUGUACAUUUUCUAUAAAAAAACACUAUUACCUAUACAGCUAACCAUAUUUCAACCAAUAGAAAAAUAAAUUUUGCAUAAAAUUAAUAAAUUUUGCAUUGAAAAUCGAAAACGACACUUAUUUUGUAACGAAAAAAAUUCUCUAAAACGACACUUAAUAUGAAACGGAGGGAGUACUUUGUUUUCAUGCUAUAAAUCGUUUUUAACCAUCACUGGGAAAAACAAGAACCACUAGAAUAUGACAUUUAAGCUUUAACCUAAACUAGGUUAAGAUCCACGCCUUGCGCAGAAUAAAUAUUAUAAAUAAAUUAGUUUUACAUAUUAUAUUUUCUUUUACAUAUUAGUAAAUUAUACAUGUAUAUUGAUAACUAAAAAUUCAGUAACUAUUAUGUAUAUGGUGCAAACACAUAAAUUUUUUUUAUUAAUUCAAAUAAACAUUUUUUCUAUUUUAUAUGAUAUAAAAUUAAGUUUUAAUGAUAUUAAUAUUAAUAUUGAUAUCUGUUAUAUAAUAUUUUACACUCAUAUUGUUUUUUGAUCAUUUGUAUUUUUAAUAAGAAAAAGAUUUGAAUCACUAAUAACAAAUAUUUUUGUGGGAUGUUUAAUAGUUUUAGUCAUUUAUAAUUUUAAAAACAUUAUGAAAUGUUUUAAAACUAAAUAUUAAGUUGUCAUAAUUUGUUCAAAUAUUUUAUAAAAAAAAAUCAAAGCAGAUUUCGAAAUUCAAAUACAUAUGUAUUUCUAUAUGGUACAUAAUUUAUUUUAAACAAUAUUAAUAUAUUAAUAUUUAUUAAAUUAUACUUUUUAUUAUAUAAUUUUGUAAUCAUUUAUAUACUGUUAUAACAAAAAAUUUAACCAUAGAUCAAAAAAAUUUUAAUGUGAGAUUUUUGACAACUUUAGUCAUAUAUAGUCGUUUUUAAAAAUUCAAAAUAUAACAUAUACAGAAAAAUCUAAUUUCUUUCUGUAUAGUUAAUGUGGCUGUUUAAUUUAUUUUAAUAGGUUGAUUUUUUAAAAAAAAUAGAGAAUAGACUAAUUUUUAUCAAAUCUUUAUUAUUCAAAAUUAUUAAUUGUCAUAUAUACUUUAGUAACAUUUGGUAAUUAUGUUAUUUUUAUUUUAGGAAACAAUGAAGAACAUUAAAAAUUAAUUUAUGAUUAGUUUAAUAAAAAUCUUAUUAUAUAUUUUGAUAGACCAAUAUAUUUUUCUAAAGAUUCUAAUAAUGAUUGUGGUAUGACAUGCGUCUACCAAAAAAUAUUGUGAUGUUUCUCUUUUAAUAUAUAGGAGAUUUUAACUAAAAGCCAAAUGAUUAUUUUUUUACCCAUGAUGACUCGUUUUGUAACUGACAUUUUGAAUAUAUAAUGUUAGUUUUUUUUAAAUUUAUUGGUUUUUUCAAUAGUGUUUUGUUUUCAAUGUCUGUUUUCAAGUGAUGUCAACUUUGGAAAAAUAAUGUUAAAAAGCCGUUUUGUUUUCAUUUUCAAUUUUCAAUUUCUUUUAAUUUUUUUACCUUUUGAUUUGCUAUUAAUCACUACUCUAUUAUUUUAAAAGGUUCUAAUAAAACUCAACAAGCGUUAUGCAAAUAUAACCAAACAAACACUUCUUUUUUUCCAAACCAAUACUUGGUUAAUGUAAGACAAGUGUCAAAUAAGAAAAGAGUAACAUCUCUUUGAGUUUUCAUACAAAACGUAACGUCUUUUUGAGUUUUUGUACAGAAGUUAGUAGAAACCGUGCUAUAUAUAGAAGCAUUUGAAACCCUCCUCUCAAACUUGAAUCAACAUCUUCAUCAGAGAAAAAUCCCGUUGAGGUAUAUAGUUUGAAUUCUUCUUGUUCAUACUUCAAAAGUUUAAAGAUUUAAACUUUUGGGGGUUUCUCAUGUUUCUAGGGUAGAAAAAUCUCAUUAAACAUCUCUUGCUCAUGGUAUUGGAAAUUGUAGUUUGAAUUCUUCUUGUUUAUACUUUGCAGAUGAAGUUUUCACAAUUGACAGGAAUGAAGAAAGAAAUAGUGCAAAAUUUGGAGUGGCUUGAAGCUCAGAAGAUAGAGAUAAGCAUUGACCUAAUUGCUGAAUCUAAGAAACAUCUUCAGUUCCUCGGAGUUGUUGACUGUAACCAGUUGCUCUACGAUGGUCCUGCACUCAAAAGAGCCAUCUACAGGUAAUUAAACAAAACCACCAACGCGGUUUGCAUCACGCAAGUAUAUAAAUUUACUUAAUUUAAUCUUUAUUUAAUUCUAUGUUAUAUAUUUUUUUUCUGAUUAGCAAAGUUUAAAAUAAUGAUAAACAAUAUUGCUACAAUCACCAAUCUAUUAAAUCUAAGGAAAGGACCUAACCUUUUAGUUUACGAAUAUAUCUUUUUUUUUUGUUUUUCCUUUCCAUUUACCUAAUUCCCAAAUCAAUAAUAAUUUGGUGAUUUAUUUUUCAGAUACAAUGCUUACUGGCUUCCUUUGCUAGCCAAACAUUCUGAGUCUUCCUCAAUCUGCGAAGGACCACUAGUCCCCCCAUUUGACUGUGAAUGGGUUUGGCAUUGCCACAGGCUUAAUCCAGUAAAUCUAAGCAUUGUAUAUAUCUUUGCAUACAAUUCACAUAUGAAAAAGCACACUGUAGCAAAAAAAAAAGCACACCGUAGCAGACUAGUGAACAGUGGGAGGUAAAAUAAGUAGCUCACUAUUUUGUUAAUCAUCCAGGUGAGGUACAAGUCUGACUGCGAGGAAUUCUAUGGGAGAGUUCUGGACAACUCUGGCAUUUUAUCUUCAGCAAAUGGGAGCUGCAAAUUACAGACAGAAAAAUUAUGGAAGAGAUUGUAUCCUAUGGAGUCCUAUGACCUUGAUUUGGAUAAGGCAAUCUCAGAGCCAAUUUCACCUCUUGAGAAAUGCACGACCUAUGAUCUUGUUUCAGCUGCCAAGAGGCAAAGCUCAUUUUAUCUUGAGGUACAAUAAUGAACUUGACUAAAGUAAAUUACAUAUGUUUUACAAGUUUGAAUUUGAAUAUAUUUUCAGGAUUUAUAUGGAGUUUGAGUACUUUCUGAUAAACGCUUGCACUUAAAAUAUUUAAUCUACAACUGAAAUAUUUUGAAAUUCAUAUAAAUACUUCCAAUACAUAUAAUAAUAUUAAUGGGUGUGUUACAAGGUUUCUAAGCCAUUAGUUGGUGUUUCUAUGCUACAGGUUUCAAGAGCCAAUGUGGACAGUGUGAUCAUUAUGGAAGAAGUUGUUGGUAGAUAUAAAGCAUUCCUUUACUUAAUCAAGCAAAACGGCGAAAAGACGAUCAAACCAAUCUGUGUUCCGACUUAUACUAUUGAUCUAAUUUGGCAUACACAUCAGCUUAACCCUUCCUCUUACUACAAGGAUAUGGUAAAGAUCUUUGGUAACAUCUUACAGCAUGAUGAUACGGCAGACUCUGACACAAGCGAAGGUAUGAAUCUCGACACUGUUUACUCUAGAACUACUGCGCAAUGCGAAGAAACAUUUGGUCAAAGGUAUUGGAAAGCCAGCAAGGAUACGAUGCCACAUACUCUAGUUGUGGUGGAGAUUGAGAAGAGUGGUGCGGGUGCUAGAUGCUUUGCUGAGGCUGCUGAGAAAUGUUGUGCGGGUGCUAGGUGCUUUGCGGUGGAAGCUGAGAAGAACAGUGCUAGGUGUUUUACUGUGGAAGCUGAGAAGAAAAAUGCUAGGUGCUUUGCAGUGGUAGCUGAGGAGAACAGUGCUAGGUGCUUUGCUCUGGAAGUUGAGAAGAAAAAUGCUAUUGCUAUGGAAGCUGAGAAGAAAAAUGCUAUUGCUAUGGAAGCUGAGAAGAAAAAUGCAAGGUUCUUUGCAGUGGAAGUUAAGAAGGACAGUGAUAGGUGCUUUUCUGGGGAGGCUGAAAAGGAAAAUGCAAGGUGUUUUGCAAUGACAGAUGGUAAUUAAGAGCAGUGCAAGGUGCUCUGCAAUGGCCACCAGAAAGAACAGUGCAAGGUGCUCUGCAAUGGCCACCAGAAAGAACAGUGCAAGGUGCUUUGCAGUGGCGGCUGAAAAGAACGGUGGAUUGGGAAGUGUUAAUUUGAUGGAGAACAAUGCUAAGGAAAAUGCUCCACUGGCGGAAGGCGCUACUGCGGCUUAAUUACUCAACUGAAGAAGUUCUUAUGUGUAAUGCUAACGUAAAAUAUGUGUAAUAUAUUAUCUGGAAAUGUUGUGAAACUAAUGAGUGAUGUUUCAAAUGUUACAUGUUAUAAACAUGUACAUACUAAUGUAAAUAAAUUAGUUACAACAGUUUAAUAUCGAUUUGAGUGUUUAUAUUGGAGUGGUAUGUUAUGGAUUGAACUAGAUGGUUGCCCGCGAACUCACGGAUAUAAAUAUUGUAUAAAAAUAUAUAUUAUGUAUACGAUGUUUUUUUUUGAUGAAAUGUUAAAUUUAUUGAUCAUCGAAAGGUAAAAGAAUAGUUAUUUACAAAGAGAACCUAAGAAAUGUUUAUUGUAUGAACAUAUCUUUACCCAAUAUGGGCCAGGAACCACCUCUGCAUCAACCCCUCCAGUCCUUUCUUCUCAUAGUAUCUAAUAGAUAGAAGCCGCUGCCUGAUUGUCUUCUCAAUGAUUCUCCCAAGUUGGGUCGCUGGUCUACUUCGCUGUGAGUGUCGCAUUUCAUUUCUCUCUCGCCAUACGUAAUAGAUUGUGAUUUGCAGAGCUAAUCGCAGAAGGAUAGAAACAUGUCGUAAAGAUUAAAAGUAUACGAUGUUAUAUACUUUGAAAGAUUAAAAGUAUAAUUUUUAACUUCGAAUAGUUUGAAAAUCAGUCGUAAAGUUUAUAUAAAUUUGAUGUAUAGCUGAUGAAUAUUUAGUAUUAACAAAUGCUUAUGAAAUUAUAUAUGUAAUUAUCACAUUAAUUUCACCAACACAUAUUAUGCAUCUUCUUCGGCCUCUUCUUAUUUAUCUCAUUAUCAUUUCAUUCUUUUUAUUUAAUUUUUACUAAUUUUUUCUUAACUUUUUACAUAUUUUUGCUAAAUAUUUAUUUAUCUCUCUAAAUAUUAAUACAAAACAUACAAUCAAUAAACCGAAAAUUCAUCUUAGAAUUCUUUUCAAUCAUAACAUUACCUUAUUCAGUAUAUUAUUUGACUUAAAUGCAAAACAUUUUUUAAAUCAAAGUUUUUGCAUGUCCCGUUAAAUAUAAUCCGUCUAAUUUUUAAAGCCUAGUUAUUUAUAAAUCAUAUAUGGAUAUUAUAAGAGAUUAGUUAGUAUUUUAGAUACGAAUAUAUUUUUAUAAGAAUAUGAAAUCAUUAUAUUGAUUUUUAUAAAAAAAAAUUAUAUUCAUUAUUUUAGGUAGUAUAUAAAUAUAAAAAGAAUUGAUCAAACAUUAUUACACUUUCUAUAAAUUUGAAAAUUAGCUAGCAUUAAUUAUUAUUUGUAAUAUCAUUUAGGGGCAUGUGAUAAUAAUUAGUUUAAGACUUUUGAUCUUAUUAAAAUAAUUAAAAAUUAUAAAAAGUUUCAUUCAUUAUAUUAUUUCGUUCAUAAAUAUAAAAUUAAUUAAUAACAUGUUAUUAUUCUUUUUAUAAUUACAACAAUUAGUUCCAUAAAUCAUUAUUUGUAAUAUAGAUUAGAUUAUUUGGCAAGUGAUAUUAAUUGGUUCUAGAUUUAUUUUUUAUUUUGAAUCUAAAAUAAAAUAAAUAAAAUUAAACUUUAUCGACCAAACAAAUCAUAACAAUUUUCUUAAGACUUCACAAAUGAUUGACACGUAAGCAUAAUUCACUUAUGUAAUUUUUUCGUUUAAUAUAUAGAAUAAUUUUUAUUUUUAUAAAUGUUUAUUAACUCAUAUAAAUAAUUUAAAAUUACGAUCAAAUAAUUUUGUAAGCCAUAAUAGAUAAUUUUGUAAAUGUUUUAUUUUUUUAUAAAUGAAUUAUAAGACAUCUAUGGACAUUAUAAGACAUUGAUAAUUAUUAUAAUUCUCUAUAUACAAAGAUAGCAUUUUAUAUAAGAAUAUGAAAUCAUAAAUCAAUUUCUAUAAAUUGUGUUCUACUAAUAAUUUAUGUAGUAUAUAAAUGUAAAAGAAUUAAUCAAACAUUAUUAGAUUUUCUAUAAUUUUGACAAUUAGAUACCAUAAAUUAUUAUUUUUAAUAUCAUUUAAACUAUUUGGUAAGUGAUAUUAAUUAAUUUUAGACUCACCAUUUUUAUUAGAUCUAAUUAAAAUAAAUAAAAAUUAAAUCGUUCAACCAAUCAAAUUAUAAUAAUUUUUUUGAACUCUCUCUAUGAUUGACACCUAAGCAAAAGUCACUUAAGUGACUUCUUGUUUAAUAUACAGGAUAAAUUUUAUUUUAUUAUAAAUGUUUAAUAAACUCAAAUAAAUAAUUUAAAAUUAAGAUGAAAUAAUUUUGUAAGCCAUGAUAGAUAAUUUUAUAAAUUUUUUAACUUUUUAUAAAUUACUUAUAAGACAUAUAUGGACAUUAUAAGAUAUUAAUAAUAAUUAUAAUGAUUUAUAUACAAAUAUAAUGUUUUAUAUAAGAAUAUGAAAUAAUUAUAUCGAUUUCUAUAAAUUGUGUUCUACUAAUUAUUUUAUGUAGUAUAUAAAUAUAAAAGACGUAAUCAAACAUUAUUACACUUUCUAUAAUUUGACAAUUAUUUACGAUAAAUUAUUAUUUGUAAUAUCAUUUACAUCUAAUUUAAAUUGAUAUUACAUUCAACCAAUCAAAUUAUAAUAAUUAAAAUAAUUAGAAACUGAAUUUUAUUUAACCAAUCAAAUUAUAAAAAAAAUUCUUAAACUUUCUCUAUGAUUGACACAUAAGAAAAAGUCAUUUAAGUGACAAAUAUCACACAUAAUAUCUUUUGGUAGUUCUAUAAGUAGGUAAUUGCACAGAUUUUUCAUCAUUUUAAUAAAUUUGUGAAAUAUAUACAGUGAAAAACUUAUGGACAUGGACUAUUUAUAUAUUUUAAAAUAUUUAUACAAAAAGUCACGACUUUAGAUUUCAGAUAGUUAUUUUAGGUUAGUAUCUAUACAAUAUAUUUUGAAUAGAAAUAUCAUUGAAAAAAGAUACACUACUGAAUAAUGAAAAGAAAUAUAAUUAUAGAAAGAAACUUAUUGAGAUAUUUUAAUAAUUAAAAAAAAAACAUUAAUGAUGAGAAGACACAAUUCUUAAAACUAAUAAUUGUGGAAAGAUAUUUAUUGGGACAUUUUAACAACUUUUUUAAACUACUUUAUUUUUUAUAAUAGAAAAGACACAACUCUUAGAACUAAUAUAUUUCAGUUUUUUGAUGAAAAUACACAAAUUUUAAAAAUUAAUACAUUUUCGGUUUUUUUAAUGAAAACCACAACUUCUAAAUAUUAGUUGAGAUUCCUAUUGUUAAUUAUAUUAAUUGUUACAUAUUAUAUAUAUUAGAUUAUCUUUUGAAAAAUAAUUUUAAAUUUAUCAUAUUUAUAUAUUUAAAAAUGAUUUAGAUUUUACAAUUUUAAACUAUUCAUAUAUGUUACACUAUUUUUAUAAACAUAGAAAUUAUUUUUAAAAUAUAUUUUAUGUUCAUUUAAAAAAUAAUAAUGAGUAAAUAUUAGUUUUAUACUUAUAUUUCAUGUAAAAUCAUAUAUCCGUCUAGCUCCGUUUAGACGCUAAAUAUUUAUCUACCGUGAAACGAACGUCUAGCACGUUUUAGAAUACUGAUUGAAAAUAAGUUCCGCGUGUACCCAUCUAGUGAAAGUUUAAAAAUAAAAAUUGAUGUUUUUUUUACUACAGUUAUAAUCAAUUUAAGCAUACGAAUCUUACAAGGUGCAUGUACAUAUCUAAGAUAAAUUCUCUAAAUUGUUUACUAAGUACGAAAGGUCGUUUAUGAGAAUCAAAUUCACAAAGCCCUCAAAAGUGGGUAAUCUUCAAGUAGUUUCUUUUUUGACAAAGUGCUUCUUAUUAUGCGGGGUCCACAGUACUUCUUCGGCCUGCAACAUUUGUUUUUUACACCAUUCAGGAAGGGAGCCUAAUGCUUCACAUAGUCAGUUUUGUAACUGGUGCUUUGUUUUCAGUGCAAUAAAGUGUUUUUUCAACUUAGUCGGUUUUGAAACUGAUACUCUGUCUGUUUAAUUAUAAGUUUCGUUUUAGGUUUCGGCACACAGAUUAAGGAAACAAUUAAUUUUGUACAUUUUCUAUAAAAAAAACACUAUUACCUAUACAGCUAACCAUAUUUCAACCAAUAGAAAAAUAAAUUUUGCAUAAAAUUAAUAAAUUUUGCAUUGAAAAUCGAAAACGACACUUAUUUUGUAACGAAAAAAAUUCUCUAAAACGACACUUAAUAUGAAACGGAGGGAGUACUUUGUUUUCAUGCUAUAAAUCGUUUUUAACCAUCACUGGGAAAAACAAGAACCACUAGAAUAUGACAUUUAAGCUUUAACCUAAACUAGGUUAAGAUCCACGCCUUGCGCAGAAUAAAUAUUAUAAAUAAAUUAGUUUUACAUAUUAUAUUUUCUUUUACAUAUUAGUAAAUUAUACAUGUAUAUUGAUAACUAAAAAUUCAGUAACUAUUAUGUAUAUGGUGCAAACACAUAAAUUUUUUUUAUUAAUUCAAAUAAACAUUUUUUCUAUUUUAUAUGAUAUAAAAUUAAGUUUUAAUGAAAUUAAUAUUAAUAUUGAUAUCUGUUAUAUAAUAUUUUACACUCAUAUUGUUUUUUGAUCAUUUGUAUUUUUAAUAAGAAAAAGAUUUGAAUCACUAAUAACAAAUAUUUUUGUGGGAUGUUUAAUAGUUUUAGUCAUUUAUAAUUUUAAAAACAUUAUGAAAUGUUUUAAAACUAAAUAUUAAGUUGUCAUAAUUUGUUCAAAUAUUUUAUAAAAAAAAAUCAAAGCAGAUUUCGAAAUUCAAAUACAUAUGUAUUUCUAUAUGGUACAUAAUUUAUUUUAAACAAUAUUAAUAUAUUAAUAUUUAUUAAAUUAUACUUUUUAUUAUAUAAUUUUGUAAUCAUUUAUAUACUGUUAUAACAAAAAAUUUAACCAUAGAUCAAAAAAAUUUUAAUGUGAGAUUUUUGACAACUUUAGUCAUAUAUAGUCGUUUUUAAAAAUUCAAAAUAUAACAUAUACAGAAAAAUCUAAUUUCUUUCUGUAUAGUUAAUGUGGCUGUUUAAUUUAUUUUAAUAGGUUGAUUUUUUUAAAAAAAUAGAGAAUAGACUAAUUUUUAUCAAAUCUUUAUUAUUCAAAAUUAUUAAUUGUCAUAUAUACUUUAGUAACAUUUGGUAAUUAUGUUAUUUUUAUUUUAGGAAACAAUGAAGAACAUUAAAAAUUAAUUUAUGAUUAGUUUAAUAAAAAUCUUAUUAUAUAUUUUGAUAGACCAAUAUAUUUUUCUAAAGAUUCUAAUAAUGAUUGUGGUAUGACAUGCGUCUACCAAAAAAUAUUGUGAUGUUUCUCUUUUAAUAUAUAGGAGAUUUUAACUAAAAGCCAAAUGAUUAUUUUUUUACCCAUGAUGACUCGUUUUGUAACUGACAUUUUGAAUAUAUAAUGUUAGUUUUUUAAAAAUUUAUUGGUUUUUUCAAUAGUGUUUUGUUUUCAAUGUCUGUUUUCAAGUGAUGUCAACUUUGGAAAAAUAAUGUUAAAAAGCCGUUUUGUUUUCAUUUUCAAUUUUCAAUUUCUUUUAAUUUUUUUACCUUUUGAUUUGCUAUUAAUCACUACUCUAUUAUUUUAAAAGGUUCUAAUAAAACUCAACAAGCGUUAUGCAAAUAUAACCAAACAAACACUUCUUUUUUUCCAAACAAAUACUUGGUUAAUGUAAGACAAGUGUCAAAUAAGAAAAGAGUAACAUCUCUUUGAGUUUUCAUACAAAACGUAACGUCUUUUUGAGUUUUUGUACAGAAGUUAGUAGAAACCGUGCUAUAUAUAGAAGCAUUUGAAACCCUCCUCUCAAACUUGAAUCAACAUCUUCAUCAGAGAAAAAUCCCGUUGAGGUAUAUAGUUUGAAUUCUUCUUGUUCAUACUUCAAAAGUUUAAAGAUUUAAACUUUUGGGGGUUUCUCAUGUUUCUAGGGUAGAAAAAUCUCAUUAAACAUCUCUUGCUCAUGGUAUUGGAAAUUGUAGUUUGAAUUCUUCUUGUUUAUACUUUGCAGAUGAAGUUUUCACAAUUGACAGGAAUGAAGAAAGAAAUAGUGCAAAAUUUGGAGUGGCUUGAAGCUCAGAAGAUAGAGAUAAGCAUUGACCUAAUUGCUGAAUCUAAGAAACAUCUUCAGUUCCUCGGAGUUGUUGACUGUAACCAGUUGCUCUACGAUGGUCCUGCACUCAAAAGAGCCAUCUACAGGU